rnacentral:lncRNA from 1 species
CCCAAAUGUUUCAAGAGCCUAAGGUGAAACUGUGCUGGUCGACAUAAGAAUAGUUCAAGGGGAAGAGGCCGGGUCUCCACAGCUGGGUUGUACUCCAGGAGCCCAGAAGGAAGGGUGCAGAGCCUUGGGUCCUUCUGCGUUGGGAAGAAGCCAUCUGGGCCAAUCUGGGCAAACACAGACGUGUGGUCUGGAGAGGCUCUAUACAAGUGCCAAGGCAUCUUCUUCUGCUCUUGUCUGGACAUUUGGCAGCAGCCCCCUCCCAAUUCUAAACCCUUGAUGCUAAAGAGUGCUUAAUUUUGUCUGGACCAAUGCAGUUAAGAGCUGAAAUGUCCUACGUGUUUUCCAACCAAAUAUUGGUGGGAAACCAGCCAUAAGCACAGUAGAGUCUUCUGUUUCCUCUCCAGGGCUGACAGCUUCUGGUGCCUUCUUCCUGUAGCCAGGCCUAAUGGAUGAGUGCUCUUCAUGAGGCCUGAAGGGGCGGGGACUAGCUGAGCUGAAGGACUUAAUCAUGGGGAUAAAAAUGUGAGGCUGGGAACUCGGGAAGUAUCUUGGAAAUUUGACAACGUCUGGCCGACAGUUCUGGCUUUGGAGCUUUUGGGACAGGGGUCUGAGUAACCUGCACCUCAUUGGCUAUUUGGUCACAGUCCCUUGACACUCUGCCUCAGCUCCCUCGAUGCUUACAGAGAGGCCUAAGUGAAGGCUGUGUGCAGUGCGGCUCUUGAUGAAGUCGAACCACCACAACGUACCCACUCUUGUGGAUCUCCUUUUCUUUCUUGAGUUUGUGCGCACGCGCGCACACACACACAGACACAGACACAGACACACACACACACUUCUGAUAUUCACAUGCAUGCAUACCCAUACACAGGUACACAUACAUGCCUGACCUUCACACACACAUACAUGUACCUAUGACCUUCACA